UAGGGAAUCUUCCGCAAUGGACGCAAGUCUGACGGAGCAACGCCGCGUGAGUGAAGAAGGAUUUCGGUUCGUAAAACUCUGUUGUUAGAGAAGAACAGCGCAUAGAGUAACUGUUAUGCGUGUGACGGUAUCUAACCAGAAAGCCACGGCUAACUACGUGCCAGCAGCCGCGGUAAUACGUAGGUGGCAAGCGUUGUCCGGAUUUAUUGGGCGUAAAGCGAGCGCAGGCGGUCAAUUAAGUCUGAUGUGAAAGCCCCCGGCUCAACCGGGGAGGGUCAUUGGAAACUGGUUGACUUGAGUGCAGAAGAGGGGAGUGGAAUUCCAUGUGUAACGGUGAAAUGCGUAGAUAUAUGGAGGAACACCAGUGGCGAAGGCGACUCUCUGGUCUGUAACUGACGCUGAGGUUCGAAAGCGUGGGUAGCAAACAGG
rnacentral:rRNA from 1 species